rnacentral:rRNA from 1 species
GACAGAGGGGGCAAGCGUUGCUCGGAAUUACUGGGCGUAAAGGGCGCGUAGGCGGGAUGGCAAGUCGGUCGUGAAAUCCCUCGGCUCAACCGAGGAACGUCGAUCGAUACUGCUGUUCUUGAGGAUUGCAGAGGAGACUGGAAUUCCCGGUGUAGUGGUGAAAUGCGCAGAUAUCGGGAGGAACACCAGUAGCGAAGGCGGACACUCUGGGCCGGUACUGACGCUGAGG